GCGACAUGUUCACUAAGGGCGUCUUCGUGCUUGCUUUGGUGGCAGUGGCUCUCGCUGCCCCUUCGGACCCAUAUCAUCAGCCGGCCUACAAGGAGGAGCCGAAGCCGUACCAGUUCGCCUACGGAGUCAAGGAUGAAUACGCCGGCACCGACUUCGGU